AUACGGAGGGUGCGAGCGUUAAUCGGAAUUACUGGGCGUAAAGCGUACGUAGGCGGUUGGUUAAGUUAGAUGUGAAAGCCCCGGGCUUAACCUGGGAACUGCAUUUAAAACUGGCGAACUAGAGUUGAGUAGAGGGGAGUGGAAUUUCAGGUGUAGCGGUGAAAUGCGUAGAGAUCUGAAGGAACACCAGUGGCGAAGGCGACUCCCUGGACUCGAACUGACGCUGAGGUACGAAAGCGUGGGUAGCAAACAGGAUUAGAAACCCCAGUAGUCC
rnacentral:rRNA from 1 species